rnacentral:misc_RNA from 1 species
AUUGAAGGACCUGCUGCAUAUGAUAUUCUUACAAACUUUGAGCAGCGUUGGAGAAAAGCCUCAAAAUGGUCAGAAUUUGGACGGCGUUUUAAAAGGGUAACUCAUUGGCAUGAUGAUGCUUUAAUAAAGUUGGAACGAAUCUCAUGGAUACUUAGUCCUGGCCCAUCAAUUCCUGAUGAUGAUCCUAAAUUAUGGGUGUCCAAUGAAGAUGAUCCUGAAAACUGGCAUGUUCAGGUUUUCCGGUCUAUAGAUUCAGGAUCUCUGAAAGGGUUUCCCAAAGACGUUUAUCAAGCUGAGGCUCAGAACCUUGUAUGUGCUAAGAAUCUGGUGAUUGAUAAGAGCAUUCAAACAGCAUACAUUCAGGCAAUCAGAUCUGCCCAACACUUCAUAUAUAUUGAGAAUCAGUAUUUCAUUGGAUCAUCUUAUGCAUGGCCAUCUUACAAAGAAGCAGGUUUAAGCAUAACCUUUCUUACUUUUGCAUGAUAUACUUACAUGAACAGCUAAUUUCUUCUGCUUGAAGUAUCCUACAAUACCUGUUGUACUUCGCUCUUUUAACAGAAGAACAUGUUCUUACUCUGCACUUGUAACACCUUUGUAAUGCUAAUAAUGUAUUUUGCACACUUGAUCAUCAUAUUAGCCUUAGUAAUUUUGAAUUGGGUCAUUUCUUUUUCCCUUUUGACCUUCACAGAUUUUUCUUUUGCCCUCAAUUUAGUUUCUUGGGUAUGAAUAGGGGCUGAUAAUCUAAUUCCUAUGGAGUUGGCAUUGAAGAUUGCUAGUAAAAUCAGAGCAAAGGAGAGGUUUGCUGUCUAUGUCGUCGUACCAAUGUGGCCUGAGGGUGUUCCCACUUCUGUCUCUGUGCAAGAAAUUCUCUUUUGGCAGGUAAUAUGGCAUAUGGUUUAGUUCAUUGAGUGUAAGUUGAGGUGAUACAAAGUGGAGAGGAAGAAGCAAAAUGGAUUGUCCAGCUGAAGUUCUUUAGGAAAAAUGUUACUAAUGACUGCAUCAAUCUUUUUAUAUGGAUAUAAACGAUACAUAAUUCAUCCAUUUUUCCUGUGGUUAAUUCAUCUUUUCAGCACCAGCCAAUUAACAUUCUGUUGGAACUAUGGGUGCUAGUUUCAUUACUUUGCAUGACUCAUUGCUUGUUUUGGUUGGAGCAUGUAUUUUAGCUAUGUGACUGACAUUUUUCUUGCCUUUACAGGGACAGACAAUGCAAGUGAUGUAUGAAGUCAUAGCAAAAGAAUUGAAAGCCAUGAAUCUUGAGAAUGUACAUCCACAAGAAUACCUGAAUUUUUAUUGUCUCGGUAAUAGGGAAGAACCAUCCAAAGAAUUGUUGGAUUUAAGUGAUAAGGCUCGCAAUUCUGGAGAAGUGGUUUUAACCUGUCAAGAGCAUCGACGUUUUAUGAUUUAUGUACAUGCCAAGGGAAUGAUAGUAGAUGAUGAGUAUGUUAUAUUGGGCUCUGCUAAUAUUAAUCAACGGUCUAUGGCUGGUUCAAGAGAUACUGAGAUAGCAAUGGGAGCAUACCAGCCGAGUCACACUUGGGGAAAUAAGAGGAGACAUCCACGAGGCCAGGUAUCUGCUCCUAUAAUUUGAUACAUUGCUUGCUCUAUCCAAAUUUUGCAGAUAGUGAAUGGAUUACUUUCUGUCACCUGCAUUUGCCAGUCGAGCCUUUUUAGAUAUGAUUUUUAAGACUUUAACCAGAGUAAGCAGAUUAAAUUAUGUGAUGCAUCUUCAGGUAUAUGGAUACAGAAUGUCACUCUGGGCAGAACACUUGGGAUUGGUUGAUAGAUUGUUUGAAGAGCCUGAAACUUUGGAUUGUGUGAAUACUGUGAACAAAAUUGCUGAAGAUAACUGGAGGAGGUUCACAGAGAAGGAAUUUUCGCCAUUGCAGGGGCACCUCCUUAAAUACCCUCUGAAGGUAGAUGUCAAUGGCAAAGUAAGCCCCUUGCCUGGACAAGAGAAUUUCCCAGAUGUUGGUGGAAAGGUGCUUGGAGCUCGUUCUACCCUUCCUGAUGCAUUAACUACAUAGCAAGUCCAUGCUUCUGUUUCUAAUUCACACGGUAUCUCACUUUGACUGUUGAGAGGCAGGCUAUAGUUUGUACUGAUAUGAAGCUCAGUUACUCUAGGAGCCUUACGAGAGUCUUAAAUGCCAAUCUAGUGUAUAGAACAAAAUACCAUCGUACCAUUUCUCAAAUAUACAGUGAUUGGAAUAGAAAAGUUUGUAAUUGAUAAAUUCUGCCUUUAAAUUUGUUAAAGCACAGACAAAACAGAAAACCCAAGCUAAUAAAAGACAAAAGAAACAAAAAUCACACAAAUAAUGCCAUAGCAAAACUACAAGUGUCAAAUUAUAUAAAAGAAAACACAAGGGCAUCAUACAAGUUAGGUUCACACCAUACGCUUACUCAUUAUGAUUUAUGAACCCUCCUACCUUACUGAAAAAUAGAAGAGGAACAUGAGAUGAUAUGACUGUUAACCCCCACUUGGAGUUUAGUUAACUGUCACCUUUCCCACCAUGCCAGCUCCCUGGUGAGGGGAACAGUAGAAAGUGUAAGUGCCUUUCUCAGACAAGGUAACAGCAUAAGUCUCUCCUGGAGCAUUCAGGAGAUCUUCUUCAGACAUGGAGAUUUUGGAAGCAUCAACCCCACUUGGAAUUUCAUCCUCCUCGAACACAACGUUGUGUGGGAAGCCUUGGUUGUUCUUGAACACAAUCUUUUCUCCGGCAGCCACAGAGAAGUUGCUGGGAACAAAGGCCAGUGACCCAUCAUCACCUCCGAGCAAUACCUCAAUGGCCAUGGCAUUGCUGGCGAGAAUUGCACUUGCUGCAGUGGCGGCAACUGCAACACCCACGUCCUUCAUUGAAGCCUUGAUAGCGAGUUUUGGGACUGUAGAAGCUGUAACCUUGUCACUGGCUUUGGCUGUAGUGGAUCUUGCUGCCUUAAGACCAGUGAAAGAUAGGAUAACAACAGCUGCAGAGGUGACGGUGGCCAUUCUUGUAGUUUUAUUUUUUCUUUUUCUUCUCUGUUUAUUGGAGGUGUUUUGUUGUUCUGUGUUGGAAGCGAUCAGAUGAAGAAGGGAAGGGAGGUUGAUGUUUAAAAUAGUGAUGGGGAGAGGGUGAGGCUUAGAUGUUCUUUUUGGUGUGGUUUAAAUUUUGGCAUGGAAUAUAGUGAUGAUUAGAUAAUGAAUGGCAAGGUGAAUGGUCAGCGGCAGAGAACGUGUUAUCUGCUGAGGAUUACUCCUAUUGGCUAGCUAGGAUGUUGUUGAUGACGUGGCUUGGACGUAUAUGAAUUUUUAAAUGAGGUGGAAAUUAUGAUUAAUAUGUGGAAUGAG